AUUGAACGCUGGCGGCAUGCCUUACACAUGCAAGUCGAACGGUAACGCGGGGCAACCUGGCGACGAGUGGCGAACGGGUGAGUAAAGCAUCGGAACGUGCCCAGUAGUGGGGGAUAGCCCGGCGAAAGCCGGAUUAAUACCGCAUACGACCUAUGGGUGAAAGGGGGGGAUCGCAAGACCUCUCGCUAUUGGAGCGGCCGAUGUCAGAUUAGGUAGUUGGUGGGGUAAAGGCCUACCAAGCCGACGAUCUGUAGCUGGUCUGAGAGGACGACCAGCCACACUGGGACUGAGACACGGCCCAGACUCCUACGGGAGGCAGCAGUGGGGAAUUUUGGACAAUGGGCGCAAGCCUGAUCCAGCCAUGCCGCGUGCGGGAAGAAGGCCUUCGGGUUGUAAACCGCUUUCGUCAGGGAAGAAAUCCUUUGGGUUAAUACCUCGGGGGGAUGACGGUACCUGAAGAAUAAGCACCGGCUAACUACGUGCCAGCCGCCGCCGUAACAC
rnacentral:rRNA from 1 species